CUUUUUUUUCUUUUAGACACAUCCCAACCCAAAGUAUAAGCGCCCACCUAGUCUUAUCUAGUCCGGAUAACACGAACUAGAACUACAUGAGACACUAUCUCUGUCGUUACGAACCUAUCACUUUCUACCAAGCUUAAUCGGAAUAAGACCUCACAAACACUCACAAGUGAUAUAGGGCUUGAAAGAAAGUUUAGGUUUGGGUUUGGGUCAACUGCUCUAAUAAGGAGAGUCAGCUACUUGGAUUAACAAGAGUGAUUAAAAUGAGUAAGAAAAUCCAAGUAUUUUAGGGUAUCCAUGAGUUCAAAUUUGAUGUAGACAUGAUAAUUGAAAAUCAGACAGUGAGGUCGAGUAGAGCAAUCUAGGCAUGGUUCAGUUUUACUUCAAUUUCAUUGACUACGCAACAGACAACUAGCAACGAGGGCACUGAGUUUAUCUGGUGAACCAAAAUGCUUACAAGGCUAUCUCAUCAUUAUCCCCUAUGCAUAUGCAACAAUCCUAAAUGAAACACUGUAGACUCGAUCCUAAAUGUAAUGCAGCUAUAUGAACACUCUGUUUUUGUGAAAUCAUUUUCUGAAAUUUUUUCAAAUUUUUUUGGUUUUUCUAUACCUUAGAUAAAUGCAGACUCAAAAGUAUAUACAAUGCAACAAACACUUCUUGAGCCCUCCCCCAAACUUAAAUCACACAGUGGACUGUGUGACUAAACUUGGAAGAGAGUACUCAGGACAAAUCCAAUCACAGAAACAAAACAAAGAACAAAUCACAAGAGAUGAUAUAAUACAAUGGUGAAGUGAGGCGCUUACCUCAGUCGAAGAAUGAACAGAGUUGGUCGUGAAUGGAUGCCUGUAAUUGCUUCCAGGCCAUAGACGAGUCGCCCUGUUCUGUAUCAGCUAUAGCAUGUGGGUACUCGACCUCAUCAGCUCUGUGGCGGCCAACACCGCUCUAAGGAUACUCGACCACUUUUCUUCUGCUGCGGCCAGCACCGCAGUCGAGUCAUCUCCUCGAGUGAAUAAGGCGUGAUCUACUGCUAAAGCGAACGAAUGUAGCCUUUUUUCUCCUCUUGUGUUCCCUGUACUCGAAUGACGAAUGUCUAGCAGGGACAUGUGAGACUCUCUACUCACUAAGCUCAGGCCUGUGCUGACUUGGCUAAGGCUCAUCAAAUCUCCUCGAUGGCAUGUCCCGAGGAGGUUGUCCCUGUGGGAUAGCUGUUGUGGAAGAGGAGCAGCUCAGCUUAUCUGUCAGAAACUUGAUAGUCUUGAAGCACUUGGCGAGUAACUUAUCAUGUUUCUUGCACCACUUCUGCAGCUUGCUGUUGUUCAUGUGAGCUUCACUCAAACUCUUGCUCUCCCUUGUCGGAGGUACAUGCUCACUAAAAUGAUACAUGCUAGUUUCAAACUCCACUUCUCUGUCUUCAUCCAUCCCAUCCUCCGUAGCUUCUUCUAUAAGAACAUCCUCAUCCAAUGGCUGAGCGUCCUCGUAGUAGAGGUUCCCAAGCUUAGGCUUAAAAUCAAUGUUAUCUCCCUCUAUUAUGCGUGUAACCUCAAGACUGGGAAGAAGGAUGUUGACUUUCUUAUCUGUAGAAUGCUCAAACUUGAAACGGUGCAUGUCGCCAACCAUUGCGAACUCCAGGAAUUAUCAGUGAUGUAGAUGCUCGAUAUCCAUUGCCCGUGGCUCAAGUCCAUCAGAUGUGAUUGGGACUCUACAAGCGAUCGGAAUCGGUGUCACAACACCUCCUAUGCAAAGAGCGCUUCGUGCUCUCUUGUGGUUAUUGCUAACAGCCCAUCUCUUUUAUCCACACAUGUGGAUCAGAAGAAGUACAAAGAGAGGUGUGUCAUUGGUUUCACCUUGAAGAGACAUACCAUUCUUGGUUUGGUGAAGAGUGCCUUUGAGAGCCAUAGCAAUCAUUUCCAUAUCAGAAUUGGUAACAGUCCCUGUUAUCUCUCGGGAGUAGAGAACAUUGGCUAUAGAACGCUGGAAGUACCUGAUGACCGGAGUGCGUAUCUAAUUGCUCUUGGAUCUAGAAGAAUUUAGCGGUACAGAGCUGCCAGUGGUGAUCCAUAAGUCUUUCAACUCUUGUCUGUCAUACUUGGGCUUAGUACCCGUUCCACUUGGGAAACCAAACAAUCCUUCCAAGCGUUUGAUUGAUAGCCUAUAAUCCUUACCAUACACAUAGAAUCGCAAGAAUCUCAAUCCUUCGCAUUCCAAAUCAUCAGAGGUCAUACCUUGGUAAAGCUCCACUUGUAGUGUGGAGAGGAACUGAAUCGUUUCUUCUUCAUAGGGUACAUAUGGGUAAGCCAUCAGAGUGUCCUGGUGACAACUCUGGUACAGGUGUUGAACAUCCUCCAGUAAUCCAUGUUGUGCCAGUGUGGUCGAGCACGGAUACCUUGUGCUACAGAACUCAUUCAGCUUGAAGAGCUUGAUAUACUCCUCAGCAGGCAAUAUAUCAGGUUUGUGCAGAAGUUUGGUGGCUAUGCGAGUAUGCUCAGGCAUAUACUCUUCUUCUAGAUCCUCAUCUAUCAGCUCAUACCUCUCUAUCAUUGCUCUCUUCCCUCGAGCUAUCUCAACUUUUCUCCUGAAGUUAUCAUAUUCUCUCUGUUCUCUUUCUGGCCUUGAAGACGAUUACUCCGUCUCAUCCAUGUUAUAGUCUGGAUCAAUUGAAGAACUGCCACUAUAGUUACUCAUGAUUCUUCUGCAAAAGAUUUAGAACUCAAAACUCAAAUGUCAAUAGGUUAGUUUC
rnacentral:sRNA from 1 species